CAGUCGCCACGGUAAUACGUAGGGUGCGAGCGUUAAUCGGAAUUACUGGGCGUAAAGCGUGCGCAGGCGGUUUGUUAAGACAGAUGUGAAAUCCCCGGGCUCAACCUGGGAACUGCAUUUGUGACUGGCAAGCUAGAGUGUGGCAGAGGGGGGUGGAAUUCCGCGUGUAGCAGUGAAAUGCGUAGAUAUGCGGAGGAACACCGAUGGCGAAGGCAGCCCCCUGGGCCAACACUGACGCUCAUGCACGAAAGCGUGGGGAGCAAACAGGAUUAGAUACCCGUGUAGUCCCUGUCUCUUAUAC
rnacentral:rRNA from 1 species